UGCGUAGGCGGGCUAAUAAGUCAGUGGUGAAAUCUCUCGGCUCAACCGGGAAACUGCCAUUGAUACUGUUAGUCUUGAGUUCGGUUGAGGUAGGCGGAAUGUGUAAUGUAGCGGUGAAAUGCUUAGAUAUUACACAGAACACCAAUUGCGUAGGCAGCUUACUAGACCGACACUGACGCUGAGGCACGAAAGCGUGGGGAGCGAACAGGAUUAGACACCCUGGUAGUCC
rnacentral:rRNA from 1 species